rnacentral:tRNA from 1 species
GGAGAGGUGGCCGAGUGGUUUAAGGCAGCGGUCUUGAAAACCGCCGUAGGUUAAUCCCUACCGUGGGUUCGAAUCCCACCCUCUCCG